UUUAAAGGAUAAGUGAAUCCGUAGUAUUUAAUGCCUACAUUAAUUGCAUAGCAGAAGGAAUGAUUAUCUUUUGAAAGAAUAUUUUGAAAGAUAUCUUCACUAGUCCACUUGCAUUCUUGUUGUAUAUGUACACGCAUAUGAAUCAUUCACAUACCUCACAUCCAAACCACCCCCUAUAUUAGUCACGACACAAUCUCGUACAUUCAAAAUCGGAGGAAACCAACAUAAAGAAAUCUCCUUGCAAUCGCAACUGCUCGAUCAAACAAAAAGUUUGAGAGGAAGGAAAAAAAAAACAAACAACCAAACUGCCGUGAAUACAAUUCCUUUUGCUGCUAGACAAUUUCUACUCUCCAAAGGUACCUCAAUUCCUCUACAAUAGCCUCAAUUUUGUGAAUCUCAUAACUCUGUAACCAAUCCAAUAAUCUAGUAACCAAAACAAAACCGAAUCAAAGAAUCGAACUUUAAUUUCACGAAAUCAACGUAAGAACUUUACUUGCGGGGUGGUUCGGGUUGGUUUCGGGGCUGCGUGGUGUCGUUUCAGGGCUGUUCUAACAGCGAGCAGAUCCGUGGCGACCGCAGACGGCAUGGACGCGGCCAGCAGCAGCAUCUCCCGGCGUCUGACGGCGUAGGCAGCUUGGCUGGACGUUGAGGACGACGGUGGCUGGGCGACGGAGGCGGAUCCGCGGUGGCGGCAGAUCCGAGAGAGAGAAGAUGAGGGAAGGA